CCUAUUUUCACAUAUUAGUUACGAUCCAUUAGCUGACGGUUUCAGUCGGAUCUUAACUUUGCCACUAGGAGAAUGAUGAUCGCUCGACUGGUGCUUUUGCUGGUUGUCGUGGCAUUUGUGGCUGCACAGUCGGAUUCUAACCAAACAGUGGUUUGUCAGCCAAGCGGUGGCUAUUGUCUUGGGCCAUCGGACUGCUGCUCGAGAAGAUGCAUUCGAGUGGCCGCAGAAUGUCGAUAAGUCGGUGUACCAGAAAAUUAUAUAUACAAUCAAUCUAUUCCCUAUAACUAUUUUCAAACCUGUAUUUUUUAGGAAUUAAAUGCUGCCUUGAAGGUAUCUUAAAAUAUA